AUUGAUGAUGAGUCUGUCGGUCGGUCAGAGGGGUGGUUCUGGACUGUGUAGGAUUUGGCUGGUUUCAGCUGAACUUCCUGCUUUGUCACCUGAAGACCAGAUGCCCCGCCUGACCCAUUUCCCAUUUCUCACUCGCCAAUGCGUCAGUAGUCGCAGCACCCCCCUGACCGUGAGCACAUCUAAGGUUGUCACUGGAGUUGAGAUCAGCCCAGGGAUGUUCGUACCCAACCCACGUAACAAAUGGCCACUUAAAAAAGACUCUCCACGUGACCAAGUUCCUUGAUGUGAAAUGCAGUGCCAUUAAAGGUAAUUGUUCCUAAUAUUUUAACUUUUAACCAAAAAGUCAGGCUUGCUUUGGCCGAAAGGUUAAUAAGCAGAAAUCUUGAGUUCACAGUUCAUCAGGACGGAGAAAUGAUGACAUGAAAGAUAAUGCAAAAUUAUAGCCUAGUUUAUUUAACCUCACUGGGUUUGUUCUGGACUCUUAGACCAACCUUGCGAAAGGUUAAAUGGAAAAUUAAGGAAAAGACAAGUUUAUCUCUCUGCAAAUUGAUGUUUCACCUUCUACAACUUUGAGGACACAGUAGCCAAGGCCAACAUUUAUGGCAGAACUGGGAGAAUUAUGACUAGAGGGUUGCAAUUGUUUGCUACUUGACUGCAGGCUGACUCAGGGGCAGAAGACUUAGUGCUGUUUUCAUCAAUAAAUUAGAUGCAAAAUCCCGAGAGUUGGGUUGGGCGGAGCUUAUCCGUGUGUACACAUUUCCUAGGGCUGCUGUACUCCAGUACCCCAACCAGUCCCAGAAAUGUAUUGUCUCAUAGUUCUGGAGACCAGAAGUCUGAAAUCAAGUUACUGAAACCUCUAGGGCGGAGUCUCCUGUGGCUUCUUGUAGCUUUUCAUGUUUGCCAGCCAUCUCCAGCCAUUGCAUGGCUUAGAGAUGCUUCACUGUAAUCUCUGCCUCUGUGGUCACAGAGCUUUACCCUCGUGUGUCACUGAGUCUCUUCUCCUUUUCUUGUAAAGCCACCAGUCCUGGAGUUCCCAGGUGGCACAGCAGGUUAAGGAUCCAGCGUUGUCACUGCUGUGGCUCAGGUUGCUGCUGUGGUGCAACAUCGAUCCCUGGCCUGGGAAUUUCCACGUGCACCAGGCACGGCCAAAAAUAAAAUAAAAGAGCCGCCAGUCCUAUUGGGUUAAGAGCCCACCCUACUUUAUUUGGACUCAUCUUCACUAAUUACACCUGCGCCACAGCCACAGCAACGCCAGAUCCGAGCCGUGUCUGCGACCUACACCGCAGCUCACGGCAACACUGGAUCCUUAACCCACUGAGCGAGGCCAGGAAUUGAACCCGCAACCUCAUGGUUCCUAGUUGGACGCGUGUCCACUGCGCCGCAAUGGGAACUCCCAGAAGACUUUUGUAUCACUUGCAACUGACAAAACAUUGUUAUCUGGAAUACAUUAACAAAAAACUCCUACAAGUAACAACAACAAAACAAGUGGGCAAAAGAUGUCAACAAACACUGCACAGAAUAUAAAACAUGUGUAACUGGGUCACCAUGCUGUACAGUAGAAGAAUAUAUAUAUACAUAAAUAAAUGAUCAAUAAA
ensembl:lncRNA